AUGUUGGCCUUUCGUGAUGUGCUUGAGGUAUGUCAACUAGUGGAUAUUGGUUUCUCAGGUGUACCGUUUACUUAUGAUAAUAGGAGAAGCGGGACUGCAAACGUGCGUGUACGUUUGGAUCGUGUUGUCGCCUCUAGUGCUUGGCGCAAUAUGUUCGCUUUCUCCUCAGUGGCCCAUGUGGUGUCUCCCUGUUCGGAUCAUGUGGUUCUUAUUCUUAAGGGGACCCCGGACCCUGGGCCGAGCGCAGGAAGACGACGCCAGUAUGAAAUCUUUUGGGAGCGAAGUGGUGAGCUUCCCGAGUUGGUGCAGCAAGCAUGGGAGUCGGUGGGAGCAAUUGGGAACCUUGAACAGUUGCAGUCAGCCCUGAAGAAGACCAUGUAUACUUUGGGCAUAUGGAGUAGGAAA
rnacentral:rRNA from 1 species